UUUCAGCACCAAUCCAGUGGUGACAGCUCCGUAUCGCAAGGUGAGCUUUCCAAAAUUGGAAGAGGGAUUUCGGCUUUCUGCGAUGCUGAUCGAGAGAGGGGAAGAGCGGGAAUACCGCCGCUGGGCUCUCUAACAAGGGGCCGCUUACACAGGGCAGAGAGAGAGAGAAAGAGAGAGAUAGAGAGAGGGCGAAGACGGGAGUGGGCUCAGCGCGACGAGGAAUCUGUCGGACACAGCACGAGUUUGGAGCGGCUCUCUCCGCUCUGUUCGGGUCCCUUAAAUUUCGGCUGGGGAUUCGAAUAUCAUUCCAGGACAGGACUCUCUGUAAGAAUUUCAACGCUCAGCCGCCGUCGUUUUGUAGGUGAUAUUUAACGCUGUGUAUACACCUAAGCUGAAUUCAGACUCGGCGCUCACUCCAAUUCUGGUGCUAACUACAGACUCUUCCUGUACUUCUCCGCGUUGCUGGGGAAAACGAAUCCUGGAUCUCUGCGUUUCGCUACCAUUCAUCACAUUUUCUUUUUCUCUAUCCACAACUGUCGGUUCAGAAAUGAGCCUUUGUAUCGAUCAGAACUUGGGAUCUCCCGGAUCAGAAUCUUAAGGGGCGAAACAGUACAAGAAUCAACCAAGAAAGGAAACUGUAGAAACCACUUGGACAAUGGGAGGAGCCGGAGCGCCCUGUGUGUAGUAGAGCUGGUGUAUGGACUUUACAAAUUUAAUCUCUGAAACUUGAAUACUCUGUCCCAAAGUGCACAUUCUCGAUUCCGAGAGAGAGAGGGGAAUCGAAUUGAAGAUAAUCCAAGACAAUCGUUGAAGGAGAAGAGAUCAACCUCUGACCUUUGGCGGGAGCGCUGCAUGAGGAAAGGGGCUAAGGGAUCAUCGUGAAGGGUCUGGAAGAGAGAGAGAAAGAGAAAGAGCAAUAAACAGUUCUUCUACAUUCAAGAUCGACAACUCAAGACUCUGAUGUAAAAAGAAGCCAAGACACAAUAUCACUGUU